AAAAACCUGUUGUUUUUUAGUUGGUUUUGAUCUUCGGUAAGCCAACCAAUUGAUUUUAAAUGAUAUUUCUUGAGAUUUACGAGCAAACAAAAUUUAGGAAUUUUCGGAAAUUUUAAGGAAUUUCGGGAAUUUAAUUCCCUUAAAAUAGACAGUGUCU